rnacentral:rRNA from 1 species
CCUACGGGUGGCAGCAGUGGGGAAUAUUGCACAAUGGGCGCAAGCCUGAUGCAGCCAUGCCGCGUGUGUGAAGAAGGCCUUCGGGUUGUAAAGCACUUUCAGCGGGGAGGAAGGCGUUAAGGUUAAUAACCUUGGCGAUUGACGGUACCCGCAGAAGAAGCACCGGCUAAAUCCGUGCCAGCAGCCGCGGUAAUACGGAGGGUGCAAGCGUUAAUCGGAAUUACUGGGCGUAAAGCGCACGCAGGCGGUCUGUCAAGUCGGAUGUGAAAUCCCCGGGCUCAACCUGGGAACUGCAUUCGAAACUGGCAGGCUAGAGUCUUGUAGAGGGGGGUAGAAUUCCAGGUGUAGCGGUGAAAUGCGUAGAGAUCUGGAGGAAUACCGGUGGCGAAGGCGGCCCCCUGGACAAAGACUGACGCUCAGGUGCGAAAGCGUGGGGAGCAAACAGGAUUAGAUACCCCUGUAGUC